rnacentral:rRNA from 1 species
GACGAACGUCUGGCGGCGUGCUUAACACAUGCAAGUCGAACGGAAAGGCCCUGCUUGCAGGGUACUCGAGUGGCGAACGGGUGAGUAACACGUGGGUGAUCUGCCCUGCACUUCGGGAUAAGCCUGGGAAACUGGGUCUAAUACCGGAUAGGAGCCAUUUUUAGUGUGAUGGUUGGAAAGUUUUUUCGGUGUAGGACGAGCUCGCGGCCUAUCAGCUUGUUGGUGGGGUAAUGGCCUACCAAGGCGGCGACGGGUAGCCGGCCUGAGAGGGUGGACGGCCACAUUGGGACUGAGAUACGGCCCAGACUCCUACGGGAGGCAGCAGUGGGGAAUAUUGCACAAUGGGCGCAAGCCUGAUGCAGCGACGCCGCGUGGGGGAUGACGGCCUUCGGGUUGUAAACUCCUUUCGCUAGGGACGAAGCUUUUUGUGACGGUACCUAGAUAAGAAGUACCGGCUAACUACGUGCCAGCAGCCGCGGUAAUACGUAGGGUACUAGCGUUGUCCGGAUUUAUUGGGCGUAAAGGGCUUGUAGGUGGUUUGUCGCGUCUGUCGUGAAAUCCUGUGGCUUAACCAUGGGCUUGCGGUGGGUACGGGCAGGCUUGAGUGCGGUAGGGGAGACUGGAAUUCCUGGUGUAGCGGUGGAAUGCGCAGAUAUCAGGAGGAACACCGGUGGCGAAGGCGGGUCUCUGGGCCGUUACUGACACUGAGGAGCGAAAGCGUGGGGAGCGAACAGGAUUAGAUACCCUGGUAGUCCAUGCUGUAAACGUUGGGCACUAGGUGUGGGGGCCGUGUGGUUUCUGCGCCGUAGCUAACGCAUUAAGUGUCCCGCCUGGGGAGUACGGCCGCAAGGCUAAAACUCAAAGGAAUUGACGGGGACCCGCACAAGCGGCGGAGCAUGCGGAUUAAUUCGAUGCAACGCGAAGAACCUUACCAAGGCUUGACAUCUUCUGACAGCUCUAGAGAUAGAGCCUUCCUACGGGACAGAAUGACAGGUGGUGCAUGGCUGUCGUCAGCUCGUGUCGUGAGAUGUUCGGUUAAGUCCGGCAACGAGCGCAACCCCUACGGUAUAUUGCCAUCAUUCAGUUGGGCACUUUUACGGGACUGCCGUUAACAAAACGGAGGAAGGUGGGGACGACGUCAAGUCAUCAUGCCCCUUAUGUCUUGGGCUACACACGUACUACAAUGGUAAUGACAGAGGGCAGCGACAUAGCGAUAUGAAGCGAAUCCCAAAACGUUAUCUCAGUUCGGACUGGAGGCUGCAACUCGCCUCCAUGAAGCCGGAAUUGCUAGUAAUGGCAGGUCAGCAUACUGCCGUGAAUACGUUCUCGGGUCU